rnacentral:rRNA from 1 species
AUUGAACGCUGGCGGCAUGCCUUACACAUGCAAGUCGAACGGCAGCACGGGGGCAACCCUGGUGGCGAGUGGCGAACGGGUGAGUAACAUAUCGGAACGUGCCCUGGAGUGGGGGAGUAACUAGUCGAAAGACUAGCUAAUACCGCAUACGAUCUACGGAUGAAAGUGGGGGAUCGCAAGACCUCAUGCUCGUGGAGCGGCCGAUAUCUGAUUAGCUAGUUGGGGGGUAAAGGCCUACCAAGGCAUCGAUCAGUAGCUGGUCUGAGAGGAUGAUCAGCCACACUGGGACUGAGACACGGCCCAGACUCCUACGGGAGGCAGCAGUGGGGAAUAUUGGACAAUGGGCGCAAGCCUGAUCCA